rnacentral:rRNA from 1 species
ACCCGCUGAACUUAAGCAUAUCAAUAAGCGGAGGAAAAGAAACCAACAGGGAUUGCCCUAGUAACGGCGAGUGAAGCGGCAACAGCUCAAAUUUGAAAUCUGGCCCCCGGGUCCGAGUUGUAAUUUGUAGAGGAUGCUUUUGGUGCGGUACCUUCCGAGUUCCCUGGAACGGGACGCCAUAGAGGGUGAGAGCCCCGUCUGGUUGGACGCCAAUCCUUUGUAAAGCUCCUUCAACGAGUCGAGUAGUUUGGGAAUGCUGCUCUAAAUGGGAGGUAUAUGUCUUCUAAAGCUAAAUAUUGGCCAGAGACCGAUAGCGCACAAGUAGAGUGAUCGAAAGAUGAAAAGCACUUUGAAAAGAGAGUUAAAAAGUACGUGAAAUUGUUGAAAGGGAAGCGCUCAUGACCAGACUUGGGCUUGGUUGAUCAUCCAGGGUUCUCCCUGGUGCACUCUUCCAGCCCAGGCCAGCAUCAGUUCGCUGUGGGGGAUAAAGGCUUCGGGAAUGUGGCUCCCUCGGGAGUGUUAUAGCCCGUUGUGUAAUACCCUGUGGUGGACUGAGGUUCGCGCAUUCGCAAGGAUGCUGGCGUAAUGGUCAUCAGCGACCCGUCUUGAAACACGG